AUUGAACGCUGGCGGCAUGCUUUACACAUGCAAGUCGAACGGCAGCGCGGGCUUCGGCCUGGCGGCGAGUGGCGAACGGGUGAGUAAUACAUCGGAACGUGCCCAGUAGUGGGGGAUAGCUCGGCGAAAGCCGGAUUAAUACCGCAUACGACCUGAGGGUGAAAGCGGGGGAUCUUCGGACCUCGCGCUAUUGGAGCGGCCGAUGGCAGAUUAGCUAGUUGGUGGGGUAAAGGCCUACCAAGGCGACGAUCUGUAGCUGGUCUGAGAGGACGACCAGCCACACUGGGACUGAGACACGGCCCAGACUCCUAAGGGAGGCAGCAGUGGGGAAUUUUGGACAAAGGGCGAAAGCCUGAUCCAGCAAUGCCGCGUGUGUGAUGAAGGCCUUCGGGUUGUAAAGCACUUUUGGCGGGAACGAAAAGGACUGUGCCAAUACCACGGUUCGAUGACGGUACCCGAAGAAUAAGCACCGGCUAACUACGUG
rnacentral:rRNA from 1 species